GUAGAAACUGGGUUUCACCAUGUUAGCCAGGAUGGUCUACGAUCUCCCGACCUCGUGAUCCACCCACCUUGGCCUACCCAAAGUGCUGAGAUUACAGGGUGAGCCACCGCGCCCGGCCAGAUGAUGACUUUUAAGUGAAGACCUUAAGAAGGUGAUGGGGGAUGCCAAGGUGAUAUCUGAGAAGAGCAUUCCAGGCAGAGAGGAUGUCACAUGCAAAGGCCCUGAGGCAUUUUGUUGUCUGAAGUUUGUUAUUUCUCUGGAAGAGAUCAUGGGAAUAAUAGCACCUGAGGUCUUCUGUCACAGCAUGGCACGUCAGGGUCUUCUCUACCCAAAUAAUGUUCUUUGUUGGUGUAUAGAACUGCUACUAGCCUGGGCAACAUGGUGAGACCCCAUCUUAUCUCUACAACAUUUAAAAAAAAUCUAGCCAGGUAUGCACCUGUGGUCCCAGCUACUUGGGAGGCUGAAGUGAGAGGAUCGCUUAGGUCCAAGAGAUCAAGGCUGCAGUGAGCCAUGUUCGUGCCACUGCACUCCAGCCUGGGCAACCCAGUGAGACUGUCUAAAAAAAAAUUAGAAAUGCCACUGAUUUUUGUAUGUUGAUUUUGUAUUCUGCAACUUUACUAAUUUGUUUAUCAGUUCUAACAGUUUUUUCGUAGAGUUUUUAGAUUUUUCCAGGUAUAAGACGUGUCAUCUGUGAACAAGGCUUAUUUGACUUCUUCCUUUCAAAUUUGGAUGCCCUUUAUUUCUUGUUCUUGCCUAAUUGCUCUGUCCAGGACUUCCAGUAUUAUGUUGAAUAAAGUGGUGAAAGUGAGCAUCCUUGUCUUAUUCCAGUUCUUAGAGGAAAGACCUUCCAUUUAUCCUCAUUCAGUACAAUGUUAGCUAUGGGUUUGUCAUACAUGGCUUUCAUUUUUUUUGAGCUAUGUUAUUUCUAUAACCAUUUUGAUGAGGGUUUUU
rnacentral:lncRNA from 1 species